AUGGUGACCUCGGAUCAGGUAGG
rnacentral:rRNA from 1 species